rnacentral:snRNA from 1 species
UAUUGCUUCGGCAGUACAUAUAUUAUAAUUGGAAUGAUACAGAAAAGAUUAGCAAGGAUGACGCAAAUUCGUGAAGCAUUCCAUAUUUUA